GUGACUGGCUGGGGCAGAACUGGGGAGCAGGCAUGAAGGCCCUGGGCAAGCAGAACUGAUGCAGAGCUGCACAAUUACAUCAUGACCCUGAGCCUUUCCUUGGCUCGGAGAGGGAGGUCCUACCUCCUUUGUGACCUCUAAGCCACUUGAGAUCAGCAAAGAACAAGAGCUCUGGGUAACAUUCAGGCCCAAAGCUUGAACUCACCGUGGCAGCCAGUCCAAAACUUGAGCUGCUUCAGGUGAACUCUGCAACCACUGCGUUUACAAGCCCAGACCCAGCUGCAUGUUUAAGGCAGCAACGUGACCUGUGACGAGCCAACAGAGGAAAUAUUUUUCUCGAAGCAUCUGAAAAGGACUAGUUUCAGUAUUCAUUAGGAAAUUCCAGGCUGUACUGCUAUAAAAACAGCUCUGCCCAGACAAAACCCAGGCAGACAGCACAGCUGCUGCUCCAGGCUGCAGAGAGGUUCCAUUUGUGUCCCUGGCUGGUGCAGGGACCCUGGAACCCUGGCUUUUCUCUGCAGUCUCAGUCAGGACUGGUGUGUGAGAAUUUAGUGCCAGGUUUUCCCAACCUUCAUGGCGACGCCUCCAACCUGAGGACCCAGAGCGUGCUGGAAAGGGAACUCCUCUCUUUCCACCACUGAGAUGGUACCAGCCUUGUCUGAGAGGAAGGCAGCCACCUCCAUUCCUGCAAGGGAAAGGUAUGCCCAAGGAAUUGUUUAUAGCUCUCAAAGUUUCUGGCUAUCAGAGGAAAGAAUGAGUGGGUGCUGUGUAAUGCACACCCCCAGCAGCUACAGGGCUCCAGGGAGGAUCCCAGCUGGGUAGAAAAUGAACAUCCCUUCCCUGAGGGCCUCUGAUUAAUCUGUACAGGCAACAGAAGCGCUCACUGAUAGCUUGAUACCCACUCCAGCCUGGUACCUACGAAUGAAGCUCCUACAAUCACCAGAUUCUUCCCAGUUGCCAGCUCCAAGAUCUUGCUGGAGUC